rnacentral:rRNA from 2 species
UACGGAGGGUGCAAGCGUUAAUCGGAAUUACUGGGCGUAAAGCGCGCGUAGGCGGCUCGGUCAGUCGGGUGUGAAAUCCCUGGGCUCAACCUGGGAACUGCAUUCGAUACUGCCGAGCUAGAGUGUGGGAGAGGGUAGUGGAAUUCCCGGUGUAGCGGUGAAAUGCGUAGAUAUCGGGAGGAACAUCAGUGGCGAAGGCGACUGCCUGGCCCAACACUGACGCUGAGGUGCGAAAGCGUGGGUAGCAAACAGG